rnacentral:rRNA from 1 species
AUUGAACGCUGGCGGCAGGCCUAACACAUGCAAGUCGAGCGAGCGGCGGACGGGUGAGUAAUGUAUGGGGACUGCCCGCUAGAGGGGGAUAAAUACUGGAAACGGUAGAUAAUACCGCAUACUAUCGGAUAACCCAUAUGGGAUUAGCUAGUAGGUGAGGUGAUGGAUCACCUAGGCGACGAUCCCUAGCUGGUCUGAGAGGAUGAUCAGCCACACUGGGACGGAGCCACUGCCCAGACUCCUACGGAGGCAGCAGAGGGCAAUAUGGCGCAGUGGGCGCAAGCCUUAUGCAGCCAUGCAGCGUGUAUGUAGAAGGCCCUAGGUGUGUAAAGUACUUUCAGUGGUGAGGCGUUACCGACAGAAGAAGCACCGGCUAACUCCGUGCCAGCAGCCGCGGUAAUAC